UUAAUCUUCACCAUAUUCAAAGAAUAAUUUUCCAACAACAACACCUUGCAAUAGAAACAUGACAAAUUGAGAUAUGAGAGGAAAAGUAAAGCAAAGAUCACAGAAUCUGAAGAAUGAGAAGAAGAAGAGACGAAGUGAAGGAGAAGAUGCAUACCUGAACGAGGAUGAGCCAGACUGUCUCAGGCAGGCAUAUAGACUUCGGAGAUGUGGGAACAAGGUGAGAAUGUUGGAAUCAAGUAAUGGAUCAGCGGUGGGGGGAAUGGCAGAGAAGAUGACGAGUGAGAAAGUUGUGUCGUCAAAGGUGCAUAUCAU